rnacentral:rRNA from 1 species
AUAUUUAAGAGACAACAGGGAUGCCCUAGUAACGGCGAGUGAAGCGGCAACAGCUCAAAUUUGAAAUCUGGCUCUUUUAGAGUCCGAGUUGUAAUUUGCAGAGGGCGCUUUGGCUUUGGCAGCGGUCCAAGUUCCUUGGAACAGGACGUCACAGAGGGUGAGAAUCCCGUACGUGGUCGCUGGCUAUUGCCGUGUAAAGCCCCUUCGACGAGUCGAGUUGUUUGGGAAUGCAGCUCUAAAUGGGAGGUACAUUUCUUCUAAAGCUAAAUAUUGGCCAGAGACCGAUAGCGCACAAGUAGAGUGAUCGAAAGAUGAAAAGCACUUUGGAAAGAGAGUCAAACAGCACGUGAAAUUGUUAAAAGGGAAGCGCUUGCAGCCAGACUUGCUUGCAGUUGCUCAUCCGGGCUUUUGCCCGGUGCACUCUUCUGUAGGCAGGCCAGCAUCAGUUUGGGCGGUAGGAUAAAGGUCUCUGUCACGUACCUCCUUUCGGGGAGGCCUUAUAGGGGAGACGACAUACUACCAGCCUGGACUGAGGUCCGCGCAUCUGCUAGGAUGCUGGCGUAAUGGCUGUAAGCGGCCCGUCUUGAAACACGGACCAAGGAGUCUAACAUCUAUGCGAGUGUUUGGGUGUCAAGCCCGAGCGCGUAAUGAAAGUGAACGGAGGUGGGAACCCGCAAGGGUGCACCAUCGACCGAUCCUGAUGUCUUCGGAAGGAUUUGAGUAAGAGCAUGGCUGUUGGGACCCGAAAGAUGGUGAACUAUGCUUGAAUAGGGUGAAGCCAGAGGAAACUCUGGUGGAGGCUCGCAGCGGUUCUGACGUGCAAAUCGAUCGUCAAAUUUGGGCAUAGGGGCGAAGACUAAUCGAACUAUCUAGUAGCUGGUCUGCGAUCCUCUUCCCCUCGAAGAAAACAGCUUCUAGAGAUGGUUGCAUUAGUCUCUUUGCCCUAUGCCCAAAUUGACGAUCGAUUGCACGUAAGAACCGCAGCUAGCUCCAACAAUAGUUUUCCGUCUGCCUUCAUCUAUCAGGCUAAGUACAGUGCGUUACGGGUCGACGUCAAGUCUUUACCAAAUCAUCAGAAGAUAGGAGGGGACCGUUCCCCUUCGGUAGCUCGCGUCACUCAAUACCAUGUGGAACACACUCAAGUGGAUCGAGUCGUAGAGCUAAGUAGCCUGUGACCGUCCAAUCGAGAGUGUCCU